UAUGGCCACAUCAUGUUGAAACACUGUUUUCUGUACAAUCACCAAAGUUAAGCAGCGUGGAGCCUGGUCACUACCUAGAUUGGUGACCACUUGGGAAUAUCAAGUGUUGUAAG